GAUGAACGCUGGCGGCGUGCCUAAUACAUGCAAGUCGAGCGAACAGAUGAGGAGCUUGCUCCUCUGACGUUAGCGGCGGACGGGUGAGUAACACGUGGAUAACCUACCUAUAAGACUGGGAUAACUUCGGGAAACCGGAGCUAAUACCGGAUAAUAUAUUGAACCGCAUGGUUCAAUAGUGAAAGACGGUUUUGCUGUCACUUAUAGAUGGAUCCGCGCCGCAUUAGCUGGUUGGUACGGUAACGGCUUACCAAGGCAACGAUGCGUAGCCGACGUGACAGGGUGAUCGGCCACCCUGGAACUGAGACACGGACCAGACUCCUACGGGAGGCAGCAGUAGGGAAUCGUCCGCAAUGGGCGAAAGCCUGACGCAGCAACGCGGCGUGAGUGAUGAAGGUGUUCGGAUCGGAAAACUCUGUUACUAGGGAAGAACAAAUGUGGAAGUAAAUAUGCACGUCUUGACGGUACCUAAUCAGAAAGCCACGGCUAACUACGUG
rnacentral:rRNA from 1 species